ensembl:lncRNA
GCCGCUGCCCGACGCGGUCCGGGCCUCUUUCUGCGGCCCCUCAGCCCCCGCCCGCCGCUGCCCGAGGUGGUGCGAGCCUCCUUCCGCGGCGCGGUGGAGGUGCUGCCGGGGAGCUCCCGCUCCCGGUGCGGAGGCGACGGGGCGGAGGGCCUGGUGCCGCCGGAGGAUGCUGGUCGUUUAUGGGAAAAAAGUAGUUGCUAAGAAAGACGCCAGAAUUUUGCUGAAGUAGAUAAGAAGCCUCCUAAGCCCAUGUACUUUAAAGUGUUAAAAACAAAGCUGUUGAAAUCGGGACAAUAAAGAUCCUGGUCCUCAGUGAAGUCAGCAGCUUUUCCUAGUUUGAGAGAUGUGAGUCUUGCAUGUUUCUCAAACUGUUUAUUCAUUCCUCAAACAGAGCUCAAGCCCAUGAAGCCUUCUCUCACAGGAUAUCACUUCCAGACAAAUUUAGUGAGGUCUGAGCAUGCUCCCACCCACCAUGUGUUGGAAAAGCAACUUUUUAACCUGCUGCAGUAGCAAAAACUCACACUCACGGAGUAUACGUGCUCUAAAUGCCUACAAUACAGAGGAAUCCAGCUACUUCUAAUGGGAUGCAUUUGCAGAGAGAAAGAAUUCCUCAUUUAAGAUGGGUAAUAAGCAAACGAUAUUUACUGAUGAACAGCUAGAUGCCUACCAGGUCCUGGGCUGACUGCUGGAGCCACCCACACAGAGAGCUCUUGCCUCUCCACAGCAUCCUGGAGGAGUCAGCAAUUUGUAAGUUGAGCUGUUUGAGUUGGAAUUCACCAUCUUACCUGCCUUCUUCUCAUUUGUGGAAUUUCUUCAGAAUAGAAAAAGGAAGAAUGGGGCAAUGUUUCCAUAAUUUUUUUAGUCCAGGUUUUUCAUGUCUUGAUCCAGCAGCUGAGUUACCAGGGUCUCUAAACUGUGGGCCAAAGUACAACACUGUGUACCACAGUCCACUUUGCAACAGUCUGUUGUGCACAUCUGUACCCCAGUGACCAGAAAGGCAUCUACAUAUAAAUUGCUUUAAUAAACUGAUCAUUGAGGUUUUGUUUUUUUUUUCCCUAAAGCAGUUUAUGUGUCUGUGAGUUACUUCUGUACUCCUUACAACAGUGGUCCAGUGAUACUAUGAACAGUAGUACAGUAUUCAUAGUAUCAGCAUUCAGAAGCAAAAGUGUCAAUCUUUUUUGUAAAAUAUAUCUUGGUUGUUCUUUUUUUUUACUUCCUCACAGUUCCUAUUGGUGGACUGUUCAAAACCUCACUCACCUCAUGGUUAGACUUAUAAUUUCUUUUUUGAAAUAUAUUUCUUGACAUUGUAUUAUCUGGUUAUACUUUCUAUUAUUUCUGUAUUUCAUACAAAUUUCUUUGAUCUUAUAGCACCUCAUAUUGUUUAAGGAGGAAAACUUUUAUAAUUUUUUAAAAAUUCAUUGUGUUUUAUGUGCUUGUUCCAUGAAAGACACUAUGAGGUGAAAAGGUGAGAAGUUCAUGUGCCUAAAGUGUGGUAAAACCUAUGCAAGUGGCUUUGGCUUUAAUGAGUGAAGAUUAAGCUGCAGAAAAAUCACCUGCUUGAAAAGCUAGCAUGCAUAAAUCUUAGAUCAUUAGUGUAAUAUUAAUGAAAUAAAAUAAAUCAAAUUGUUUUAUUUAU